AACGAACGCUGGCGGCGUGCCUAACACAUGCAAGUCGAACGGAGGCAAGGGGCUUGCUCCUUGCUUUAGUGGCGCACGGGUGAGUAACGCGUGGAUAAUCUGCCCGAUGCUCAGGGAUAACAUCUCGAAAGGGGUGCUAAUACCUGAUAAGCCCACGGAGACCUUGGCCUUUGCGGGAAAAGGGGGGGACCUUCGGGCCUUCCGUCAUCAGAUGAGUCUGCGUACCAUUAGCUAGUUGGUAGGGUAAAGGCCGACCAAGGCGACGAUGGUUAGCUGGUCUGAGAGGAUGAUCAGCCACACCGGAACUGAGACACGGUCCAGACUCCUACGGGAGGCAGCAGUGGGGAAUUUUGCGCAAUGGGGGAAACCCUGACGCAGCAACGCCGCGUGAGUGAUGAAGGCUCUUGGGUCGUAAAGCUCUGACAGAGGGAAAGAAGUGUAUGGUGGUUAAUACCCAUUGUACUUGACGGUACCCUCAAAGGAAGCACCGGCUAGCUCCGUGCCAGCAGCCGCGGUAACAC
rnacentral:rRNA from 1 species